rnacentral:misc_RNA from 1 species
AUGGCUCUGGGCAGACACCUCUCCCUGCGGGGACUCUGUGUCCUCCUCCUCGGCACCCUGGUGGGUGGUCAAGCUCUGGAGCUGAGGUUGAAGGAUGGAGCCCAUCGCUGUGAGGGGAGAGUGGAAGUGAAGCACCAAGGAGAAUGGGGCACAGUGUAUGCUCAUGGGUGGAGAUUGAAGGAUGCAUCUGUCGUGUGCAGACAGCUGGGGUGUGGAGCUGCCAUUGGUUUUCCUGGAGGGGCUUAUUUUGGGCCAGGACUUGGCCCCAUUUGGCUUUUCUAUACUUCCUGUGAAGGGACAGAGUCAACUGUCAGUGACUGUGAGCAUUCUAAUAUUAAAGACUAUCGUAAUGAUAGCUAUUCCCAUGACGAUGAUGCUGGAGUAGUCUGCUCAGGAUUUGUGCGUCUGGCUGGAGGGGAUGGACCCUGCUCAGGGCGAGUAGAAGUGCAUUCUGGAGAAGCUUGGAUCCCAGUGUCUGAUGGGAACUUCACACUUGCCACUGCCCAGAUCAUCUGUGCAGAGUUGGGUUGUGGCAAGGCUGUGUCUGUCCUGGGACAUGAGCUCUUCAGAGAGUCCAGUGCCCAGGUCUGGGCUGAAGAGUUCAGGUGUGAGGGGGAGGAGCCUGAGCUCUCAGUCUGCCCCAGAGUGCCCUGUCCAGGGGGCACUUGUCACCACAGUGGAGCUGCUCAGGUUGUUUGUUCAGCAUACUCAGAAGUCCGGCUCAUGACAAAUGGCUCCUCUCAGUGUGAGGGGCAGGUGGAGAUGAAGAUUUCCGGACGAUGGAGAGCGCUCUGUGCCUCCCACUGGAGUCUGGCCAAUGCCAAUGUUAUCUGUCGUCAGCUCGGCUGUGGAGUUGCCAUCUCCACCCCUGGAGGACCACACUUGCGAGAUGGUGGAAACCAGAUCCAGGUGCUUCCCCAGUGCAACGACUCCCUGUCUCAACCUGCAGGCUCUUCGGCCUCCGAGGAGAGCGCCCCCUACUGCUCAGACAGCAGGCAGCUCCGCCUGGUGGACGGGGGCGGUCCCUGCGCCGGGAGAGUGGAGAUCCUUGACCAGGGCUCCUGGGGCACCAUCUGUGAUGACGGCUGGGACCUGGACGAUGCCCGCGUGGUGUGCAGGCAGCUGGGCUGUGGAGAAGCCCUCAAUGCCACGGGGUCUGCUCACUUCGGGGCAGGAUCAGGGCCCAUCUGGCUGGACAACUUGAACUGCACAGGAAAGGAGUCCCACGUGUGGAGGUGCCCUUCCCGGGGCUGGGGGCAGCACAACUGCAGACACAAGCAGGACGCGGGGGUCAUCUGCUCAGAGUUCCUGGCCCUCAGGAUGGUGAGCGAGGACCAGCAGUGUGCUGGGUGGCUGGAAGUUUUCUACAAUGGGACCUGGGGCAGUGUCUGCCGCAGCCCCAUGGAAGACAUCACUGUGUCCAUGAUCUGCAGACAGCUUGGCUGUGGGGACAGUGGAACCCUCAACUCUUCUGUUGCUCUUAGAGAAGGUUUUAGGCCACAGUGGGUGGAUGGAAUCCAGUGUCGGAAAACUGACACCUCUCUCUGGCAGUGUCCUUCUGACCCUUGGAAUUACACUUCAUGCUCUCCAAAGGAGGAAGCCUAUAUCUGGUGUGCAGGUGGGGGUCCUAGAGGACAGAAAACCCUUCCCAACCCCUGGCGUCCCAUUUCUCUCUGCUCAGACAGCAGACAGAUCCGCCUGGUGGACGGAGGUGGUCGCUGCUCUGGGAGAGUGGAGAUCCUUGACCAGGGCUCCUGGGGCACCAUCUGUGAUGACCGCUGGGACCUGGACGAUGCCCGCGUGGUGUGCAGGCAGCUGGGAUGUGGAGAAGCCCUGGACGCCACUAUCUCUUCCUCCUUCGGGAGGGGAUCAGGGCCCAUCUGGCUGGAUGAAGUGAACUGCAGAGGAGAGGAGUCCCAAGUGUGGAGGUGCCCUACCUGGGGAUGGCAGCAACACAACUGCGAUCAUCAAGAAGAUGCAGGAGUCAUCUGCUCAGGAUUUGUGCGUCUGGCUGGAGGGGAUGGACCCUGCUCAGGGCGAGUAGAAGUGCAUUCUGGAGAAGCCUGGACCCCAGUGUCUGAUGGAAACUUCACACUCCCCACUGCCCAGGUCAUCUGUGCAGAGCUGGGAUGUGGCAAGGCUGUGUCUGUCCUGGGACACAUGCCAUUCAGAGAGUCCGAUGGCCAGGUCUGGGCUGAAGAGUUCAGGUGUGAUGGGGGGGAGCCUGAGCUCUGGUCCUGCCCCAGAGUGCCCUGUCCAGGAGGCACGUGUCUCCACAGUGGAGCUGCUCAGGUUGUCUGUUCAGUGUACACAGAAGUCCAGCUUAUGAAAAAUGGCACCUCUCAAUGUGAGGGGCAGGUGGAGAUGAAGAUUUCUGGACGAUGGAGAGCGCUCUGUGCCUCCCACUGGAGUCUGGCCAAUGCCAAUGUUGUCUGUCGUCAGCUCGGCUGUGGAGUUGCCAUCUCCACCCCCAGAGGACCACACUUGGUGGAAGGAGGUGAUCAGAUCUCAACAGCCCGAUUUCACUGCUCAGGGGCUGAGUCCUUCCUGUGGAGUUGUCCUGUGACUGCCUUGGGUGGUCCUGACUGUUCCAAUGGCAACACAGCCUCUGUGAUCUGCUCAGGAAACCACACCCAGGUGCUGCCCCAGUGCAACGACUUCCUGUCUCAACCUGCAGGCUCUGCGGCCUCAGAAGAGAGCGCCCCCUACUGCUCAGACAGCAGGCAGCUCCGCCUGGUGGACGGGGGCGGUCCCUGCGCCGGGAGAGUGGAGAUCCUUGACCAGGGCUCCUGGGGCACCAUCUGUGAUGACGGCUGGGACCUGGACGAUGCCCGCGUGGUGUGCAGGCAGCUGGGCUGUGGAGAAGCCCUCAAUGCCACGGGGUCUGCUCACUUCGGGGCAGGAUCAGGGCCCAUCUGGCUGGACGACCUGAACUGCACAGGAAAGGAGUCCCACGUGUGGAGGUGCCCUUCCCGGGGCUGGGGGCGGCACGACUGCAGACACAAGGAGGACGCCGGGGUCAUCUGCUCAGAGUUCCUGGCCCUCAGGAUGGUGAGCGAGGACCAGCAGUGUGCUGGGUGGCUGGAAGUUUUCUACAAUGGGACCUGGGGCAGUGUCUGCCGCAGCCCCAUGGAAGACAUCACUGUGUCCGUGAUCUGCAGACAGCUUGGAUGUGGGGACAGUGGAAGUCUCAACACCUCUGUUGGUCUCAGGGAAGGUUCUAGACCCCGGUGGGUAGAUUUAAUUCAGUGUCGGAAAAUGGAUACCUCUCUCUGGCAGUGUCCUUCUGGCCCAUGGAAAUACAGUUCAUGCUCUCCAAAGGAGGAAGCCUACAUCUCAUGUGAAGGAAGAAGACCCAAGAGCUGUCCAACUGCUGCCCCCUGCACAGACAGAGAGAAGCUCCGGCUCAGGGAAGGAGACAGCGAGUGCUCAGGGCGGGUGGAGGUGUGGCACAGCAGCUCCUGGGGCACCGUGUGCGAUGACUCCUGGAGCCUGGCAGAGGCUGAGGUGGUGUGUCAGCAGCUGGGCUGUGGCCAGGCCCUGGAAGCCGUGCGGUCUGCAGCAUUUGGCCCUGGAAAUGGGAGCAUCUGGCUGGACGAGGUGCAGUGCGGGGGCCGGGAGUCCUCCCUGUGGGACUGUGCUGCGGAGCCCUGGGGGCAGAGCGACUGCAAGCAUGAGGAGGAUGCUGGUGUGAGGUGCUCUGGUGUAAGGACAACAUUGCCCACGACCACAGCAGGGACCAGAACAACCUCAAAUUCUCUCCCUGGCGUCUUCUCCCUGCCUGGGGUCCUCUGCCUUAUCCUGGGGUCCCUUCUCUUCCUGGUCCUUAUCAUCCUGGUGACUCAGCUACUCAGAUGGAGAGCAGAGCGCAGAGCCUUAUCCAGCUAUGAAGAUGCUCUUGCUGAAGCUGUGUAUGAGGAGCUCGAUUACCUUCUGACACAGAAGGAAGGUCUGGGCAGCCCAGAUCAGACGACUGAUGUCCCUGAUGAAAAUUACGAUGAUGCUGAAGAAGUACCAGUGCCUGGAACUCCUUCUCCCUCUCAGGGGAAUGAGGAGGAAGUGCCCCCAGAGAAGGAGGAUGGGGUGAGGUCCUCUCAGACAGGCUCUUGCCUGAACUUCUCCAGAGAGGCAGCUGAUCCUGGGGAAGAAGAAGAGAGCUUCUGGCUGCUCCAGGGGAAGAAAGGGGAUGCUGGGUAUGAUGAUGUUGAACUCAGUGCCCUGGGAACAUCCCCAAUGACUUUCUCGUGAUGCUGUAUUAAAUAUGAGAUGAAGCCUCAGAUAUUCGAAUUGCC